rnacentral:rRNA from 1 species
AUUGAACGCUAGCGGGAUGCUUUACACAUGCAAGUCGAACGGCAGCGCGGACUUCGGUCUGGCGGCGAGUGGCGAACGGGUGAGUAAUGUAUCGGAACGUGCCCAGUAGCGGGGGAUAACUACGCGAAAGCGUAGCUAAUACCGCAUACGCCCUACGGGGGAAAGCAGGGGAUCGUAAGACCUUGCACUAUUGGAGCGGCCGAUAUCGGAUUAGCUAGUUGGUGAGGUAACGGCCCACCAAGGCGACGAUCCGUAGCUGGUUUGAGAGGACGACCAGCCACACUGGGACUGAGACACGGCCCAGACUCCUACGGGAGGCAGCAGUGGGGAAUUUUGGACAAUGGGGGCAACCCUGAUCCAGCCAUCCCGCGUGUGCGAUGAAGGCCUUCGGGUUGUAAAGCACUUUUGGCAGGAAAGAAACGUCGCGGGCUAAUACCCCGUGGAACUGACGGUACCUGCAGAAUAAACACCGGCUAACUACGU